GGACCUCCCCCGUCUAAUGUUCCUCAAAUCUUGGAAAAUAAGUGUAAAAUUUUUGAAACGCCAGGGACUUCUUCUCACCUGCUAUGCAUCAGCUGUAAGGACUUUGGCCACAUCUCUUCCAAAUGUCCUAACCGAGCCUUAGUCAUAGAAGAACGAAAGGUCGUUAGAAGAUCUAGUCUAUGAGUAUAAACUUGAAGAUUUUGAUGACGUGGAUGAUAGUGAGGACACUUCCUUAAGUGGAAUCCCGACCCUUCCCGAGACUUUAGAAACUAUACCCCUUGUUUUCGACAACUCUCGAUCACAUGUUAUAUGUCAUACCCUUACCCAACUCAAAGAGUUUGAUGAUUUCACUAGUCACCCUUGGAGAAUCCAGUCGCCUGUUC
rnacentral:lncRNA from 1 species